GUCCACGCCCUAAACGAUGAUAACUCGCUGUUGGCGAUACACAGCCAGCGGCCAAGCGAAAGCAUUAAGUUAUCCACCUGGGGAGUACGACCGCAAGGUUGAAACUCAAAGGAAUUGACGGGGGCCCCGCACAAGCGGAGGAGCAUGUGGUUUAAUUCGAUGAUACGCGAGGAACCUUACCUGGGCUUGAAAGUUAGCGACCGACUCAGAAAAGAGUCUUUCAGAAAUGACGCGAAACUAGGUGCUGCAUGGCUGUCGU
rnacentral:rRNA from 1 species